rnacentral:rRNA from 1 species
UACGAAGGGGGCGAGCGUUGUUCGGAAUCACUGGGCGUAAAGGGCGCGUAGGCGGCCCUCCUUGUCGCGUGUGAAAGCCCCGGGCUCAACCUGGGAACUGCAUCCGAUACUGGAUGGCUUGAAUUCGGGAGAGGGAUGCAGAAUUCCAGGUGUAGCGGUGAAAUGCGUAGAUAUCUGGAGGAAUACCGGUGGCGAAGGCGGCAUCCUGGACCGGCAUUGACGCUGAGGAGCGAAAGCUAGGGGAGCAAACGGG